rnacentral:rRNA from 1 species
GUCACGGUCCCUAGAAGGUGCCAGGCCUGUGGGAUGGUUGCGGUUUCCGGGAAGACCUCUCCUUUGAGUCGGGUUGCUUGAGAGUGCAGCCCUAAGCAGGUGGUAAACUCCAUCUAAGGCUAAAUACAACCACGAGACCGAUAGCAAACAAGUACCGUGAGGGAAAGUUGAAAAGAACUUUGAAGAGAGAGUUCAAGAGUACGUGAAACCGUUCUGGGGUAAACGGGUGGAGCCCUAAAGGUCGAACGGGGAGAUUCAUAUCCAGUCCGGCUCGGCCGCACCGCGUCGUUGGGAUUUUGGGGACGGCCUUCGGGUCGGCCUCGGGCCCGCGGCGCGGUUUUUGCGUGCUGGCGGGGGAGCGCAAUUCUCCCUUAGUAGGACGUCGCGACCCGUUGGGUGUCGGUCGAAGGCCCGGGAUGCGAGCCCGUUCCGCGGCAACGCGGGGCGGAGCCCUGGUUUUUCCCGGCCGACUGCCCGACGGUAAUAAGUUCCGGAAAAGGCCCGCGAGCCACUCGCGCUCGUGCCCCGUGCAAGCGUCCGGUCCGACUCGUCGUACGGACUCGUCCGUGGCGGGUCGCCCGGCGUUGUUGGCGCGGGGAUUUCUCGAGCAGCGGCCUGCUCCGGUUCGCGGCGCUUAAAACAGGGUGGCCCACCCGGCCCGUCUUGAAACACGGACCAAGGAGUCUAACAUGUGCGCGAGUCAUUGGGCACCACGAAACCCAAAGGCGUAUUGAACGAAAAGGCCGAUCCAAUCGGCUGAGGGAAGAUGGAGGCGCGCUCGCGCGCCUCCCGCAUUCCCGGGGCGUCUCGUCCUACUUCCGCUCGUCGGUCGAAGGUGAGGCGCACCAAGAGCGCACACGUUGGGACCCGAAAGAUGGUGAACUAUGCCUGGCCAGGACGAAGUCAGGGGAAACCCUGAUGGAGGUCCGUAGCGAUUCUGACGUGCAAAUCGAUCGUCGGAGCUGGGUAUAGGGGCGAAAGACUAAUCGAACCAUCUAGUAGCUGGUUCCCUCCGAAGUUUCCCUCAGGAUAGCUGGCGCUCGGAGGACCGAAUCCCAUGCGGUAAAGCGAAUGAUUGGAGGCCUUGGGGUCGAAACGACCUCAACCUACCCUCAAACUUUAAAUGUGUGGGAACCGCGGCUUGUUUGAACGCUGAAGCCGCGGUCUCGGAUCGGAGUGCCCAGUGGGCCACUUUUGGUAAGCAGAACUGGCGCUGUGGGAUGAACCAAACGCCGGGUUAAGGCGCCCGAAUCGACGCUCAUGUGAAACCAUGAAAGGUGUUGGUUGCUUAAGACAGCAGGACGGUGGCCAUGGAAGUCGGAAUCCGCUAAGGAGUGUGUAACAACUCACCUGCCGAAGCAACUAGCCCUGAAAAUGGAUGGCGCUGAAGCGUCGUGCCUAUACCCGGCCGCCGGCGGCAGAAGGCGGGCGCCCUCGGGCGUUCGCUGCGAAGCCCCGGUGAGUAGGAGGGUCGCGACGGUGAGCGCAGAAGGGUCUGGGCGUGAGCCUGCCUGGAGCCGCCGUCGGUGCAGAUCUUGGUGGUAGUAGCAAAUACUCCAGCGAGGCCCUGGAGGACUGAUGUGGAGAAGGGUUCCGUGUGAACAGCCGUUGCACACGGGUCAGUCGAUCCUAAGCCCUAGGAGAAAUCCGAUGUUGAUGGUCGUGGGAUGUCGAACGCGGUCUCGACGAUCGGGCCUGCGUCUCGCUACCGUGGCAGAUACCAUCGCAUAGCCUCGCGUUCCGUGACGGUCCCCGGUCUCUCGCGCGGGGGGGGUCGCGACUCCGCUGCAUCCGCGAGAGCGGAGUGCACGCGUUGCAGUCGCGGACCCUCGCUGCGGAGCGAAGGGCCACGGGAGCGGUCGAGCGCGGCGGUCCCCGCGCGACGCACACAAGUCUCCGGCUCACCUCGUGCAACAGACCACGACGACGAGACGGGUGUCAGCCCCCUUUGCCGAUCGCCGCGUGAGCGCGCGUCUGCACACCGCGAGGUCGUGCGACGCGGCGCGAGCACGCGGGACGGCACGGGGUUUCGCCCGAAUCGCGUCGUUCGAACGCGCACGAGAGCCGUCGAGACGGUGGUCGCCUCGGACGUCGUCUGACCGUCUGCCCGUGAGAGCAAGGAGCGCGAGCACCGGUAUCGUGCUUGUCGGUCGAGGCGCGCCGGUCGCACACAUGUCGAGGCCAACAAAUUGCCCCGUCCGUCGGGCGAAAGGGAAUCCGGUUCCUAUUCCGGAACCCGGUUGCGGAACCGCACUCACGAUUCUCGUAUUGACGCGGUAACGCGAAAGACCCCAGAGAAGCCGUCUGGAGCCCCGGGAAGAGUUUUCUUUUCUGCCUGAGCGUUCAGGUUCCAUGGAAUCCUCUCGCAGGGAGAUAUGGAAUAGAACGCGAAGAGCACCGCAGUUGCUGCGGUGUCCGGGGAGUCCCGUCGGUCCUUGA